CACUUGGGGGAGUGUUGAGGGAGUAUGAGUGUAGCUUGUGAUCUGCCUGAUAAAGGGUUCAUUCACAGCAUUCUUUCAUUCAGUCUACAAGUGUUCACUGUGAUGGGGUUAGGGACACAACAAUAAGUAUGGUACUUAUAGUCUGUGAGGAAAGUAGACAUCGAACAUUAAAAUUGUGAUGAGUUAUAAUAAUAUCUUACAUACAUUGAAUGCUAACUUUGUGCAGGUAUUAUGCUAAAGCCUAUACAUUAAUCUUUAUUUAAGUGUCUAAUAUUUCCAAGAAAUCAAUAUGAUAAAUAUAGUUAUUACCUACAUUCUACAAGUGGGUGUUACAUAAUAACUUCCUCAGAGUCACACAUUUAAUAAAUGUUGGAUCCAGGAUUUGAAACCAAGUUUGCCUGAUUGCUGAUCUGAAGUUCUUAGCCAAUGUUAAAGUGUUGUUGCUUUCUGGGAGGGAGGGAGGAGCCAGAGAAAAAUGGUGCCAUCAUAGAAAGGAACUGAAAAGACUGCCUUCAUCAUUCAGACGUUGGGCUGCCUGCCAACAGCUGACCUCAGGGAAUCAAGAAAACUGAAUUUACAGAGGAAGACACUUUGGAGCUGGGUCCCAGAGCAUUCUGCUGAAGAUCUUGCAGAAGCUGUAAAACAAACAGGCGCUUGGCUCAUAAUUUGAGAUGCAAGUAAGAACAACUGUGAAAAGAAGAUUUCAUAAGGAAGGAAUGAAAUGCAAGAAUUUCUGUCCCCAUUGGUCAAAUCCCACUGGAACCAGUAAGAAGAGAGCAAAAUAGAAGAGGAGAGUGAAUCUGGAGGGGCAAAUGGAAGAUAUGUGGCAUGAGAUAUUAGAAACAUUAUGCCCAGUUAACUAGCCCAACAGUUAAACCACCUGUCACCAUCUACCUGUGCUGCAUCCUCUCUGCUCCAGCCCUUCUUCAAACCCAGAAGCUUCUGCUGGGAAAGAACCUGUUUCGUGUUGCUUAAAAUUGUGCUCAUGCUGGAGAAUGUAAAACAUACUUACAAUCUGCAG